rnacentral:rRNA from 1 species
UCGGAUUGCAGGCUGCAACCCGCCUGCAUGAAGUUGGAAUCGCUAGUAAUCGCGGAUCAGCAUGCCGCGGUGAAUACGUUCCCGGGCCUUGUACACACCGCCCGUCACACCAUGAGAGUCGGGAACACCCGAAGUCCGUAGCCUAACCGCGAAGGGGGCGCGGCGAAGGUGGGUUCGAUAAUUGGGGUGAAGUCGUAACAAGGUACC